CUGAUUGCAUUAAAUUUUUAAUGUAGUUACUACUUGGUAGUUUAAAUUUCUAGGUAGAAUUAUGAUGAUGACAUUAUCUAUCUAUAAGUCUUGACCAAAUUACGUGCCAGCAGUCGCGGUAAUACGUAAAAGACGAGUGUUAUUCAUCUUUAUUGGGUUUAAAGAGUACCAAGACGGUUAAUAAAGCCCAGAAAUACAUGAGCAAAGGGGACACAUUAACUAGAGUUAUAUGAAAGGAAGCAUUAAAGUACUGUUGAGUGUAGAGAUAAAAUUCAGUAAUACCAUCUAAGGCACAGAUUUAUGCGAAGGCAUCUUCUUAUGUAAUAACUGACGUUGUAGGACGAAGGCUUUUGGAGUGAAGAGGAUUAGAUACCCUUGUAAUCUAAGCAGAAAAUGAUGAAUGUCAUAGGUUUAGUAUAUACACCAAAAAAAAAAAUGGUCAAUAUAUUAUUGGGUCUAUAAAUGAAAGUGUAAGCAUUCCACCUCAAGAGUAAUUUGGCAACAUUGGAACUGAAAAUCAUUAGACCGUUUCUGAAACCAGUAGUGAAGUAUGUUGUUUAAUUAGAUGAUACACAAAAGAACCUUACCACAAAUUUGAAUAUAUAUCAUUAAUGAUAUUUACAAGCGUUGCACGGCUGUCUACAGUUAAUGUCGUGAGGCUUUGGUUAGUUCCAAAAAAAUUAACGUAAACCCUCAUUUUAUUUAUAAAUAAAAUUUACAAUCUGUUUC
rnacentral:rRNA from 1 species